rnacentral:rRNA from 1 species
GAUGAACGCUGGCGGCGUGCCUAAUACAUGCAAGUCGAGCGAACAGAUGAGGAGCUUGCUCCUCUGACGUUAGCGGCGGACGGGUGAGUAACACGUGGAUAACCUACCUAUAAGACUGGGAUAACUUCGGGAAACCGGAGCUAAUACCGGAUAAUAUAUUGAACCGCAUGGUUCAAUAGUGAAAGACGGUUUUGCUGUCACUUAUAGAUGGAUCCGCGCCGCGUUAGCUAGUUGGUAAGGUAACGGCUUACCAAGGCAACGAUGCGUAGCCGACCUGAGAGGGUGAUCGGCCACACUGGAACUGAGACACGGUCCAGACUCCUACGGGAGGCAGCAGUAGGGAAUCUUCCGCAAUGCGCGAAAGCCUGACGGAGCAACGCCGCGUGAGUGAUGAAGGUCUUCGGAUCGUAAAACUCUGUUAUUAGGGAAGAACAAAUGUGUAAGUAACUAUGCACGUCUUGACGGUACCUAAUCAGAAAGCCACGGCUAACUACGUG